rnacentral:rRNA from 1 species
UGGCCUACCAAGGCGACGACGGGUAGCCGGCCUGAGAGGGCGACCGGCCACACUGGGACUGAGACACGGCCCAGACUCCUACGGGAGGCAGCAGUGGGGAAUAUUGCACAAUGGGCGGAAGCCUGAUGCAGCGACGCCGCGUGAGGGAUGACGGCCUUCGGGUUGUAAACCUCUUUCGACAGGGACGAAGCGCAAGUGACGGUACCUGUAGAAGAAGCACCGGCCAACUACGUGCCAGCAGCCGCGGUAAUACGUAGGGUGCGAGCGUUGUCCGGAAUUACUGGGCGUAAAGAGCUUGUAGGCGGUUCGUCGCGUCGAUCGUGAAAACUUGCAGCUCAACUGCGAGCUUGCGGUCGAUACGGGCGGACUAGAGUACUGCAGGGGAGACUGGAAUUCCUGGUGUAGCGGUGAAAUGCGCAGAUAUCAGGAGGAACACCGGUGGCGAAGGC